UCCUCGUUUAAGCGAGGCAGUCUGUCCAGAGUGCUCCAGUCUCUCGACCGGGUGGCAACAGGACACAAGGGUUGCGCUCGUUGCGGGACUUAACCCAACAUCUCACGACACGAGCUGACGACAGCCAUGCAGCACCUGUGCACGCUCCCCUUGCGGGGUCGUUACGCUUUCACGCUCCUACUACGUGCAUGUCAAGGCCAGGUAAGGUUCUUCGCGUUGCAUCGAAUUAAGCCACAUACUCCACCGCUUGUGCAGGCCCCCGUCAAUUUCUUUGAGUUUUAAUCUUGCGACCGUACUCCCCAGGCGGCACGUUUAUCGCGUUAGCUGCGGCACGGAAUCCGUAGAAAGGAUCCCACACCUAGCGCUCAUCGUUUACGGCGUAGACUAC
rnacentral:misc_RNA from 1 species